CCCUUAGAUGUCCUGGGCCGCACGCGCGUUACACUGAUGCAUUCAACGAGCUUAUAACCUUGGCCGAGAGGCCUGGGCAAUCUUGUUAACGUGCAUCGUGAUAGGGAUAGAUUAUUGAAAUUAUUAAUCUUGAACGAGGAAUUCCUAGUAAACGCAGAUCAUCAAUCUGCACUGAUUACGUCCCUGCCCUUUGUACACACCGCCCGUCGCACCUACCGAUUGGAUGGUCCGGUGAAGCCUCGGGAUUGUGGUUCUUGCCGCUUUAUUGUGGCGUGACCGCGAGAACUUGUCUAAACCUUAUCAUCUAGAGGAAGGUGAAGUCGUAACA
rnacentral:rRNA from 1 species